UGGGGAAUCUUAGACAAUGGGGGCAACCCUGAUCUAGCCAUGCCGCGUGAGUGACGAAGGCCUUAGGGUCGUAAAGCUCUUUCGCCGGGGAAGAUAAUGACGGUACCCGGUAAAGAAACCCCGGCUAACUCCGUGCCAGCAGCCGCGGUAAUACGGAGGGGGUUAGCGUUGUUCGGAAUUACUGGGCGUAAAGCGCGCGUAGGCGGACGAUCAAGUCAGGGGUGAAAUCCCGGGGCUCAACCCCGGAACGGCCUUUGAUACUGGUUGUCUAGAGUCCGGAAGAGGUGAGUGGAAUUCCGAGUGUAGAGGUGAAAUUCGUAGAUAUUCGGAGGAACACCGGUGGCGAAGGCGGCUCACUGGUCCGGUACUGACGCUGAGGUGCGAAAGCGUGGGGAGCAAACAGGAUUAGAUACCCCCGUAGUCC
rnacentral:rRNA from 1 species